UACGGAGGGUGCAAGCGUUAUCCGGAUUUACUGGGGUUAAAGGGUGCGCAGGCGGAUAUGUAAGUCAGUGGUGAAAUCUCCGGGCUUAACCCGGAAACUGCCGUUGAUACUAUAUAUCUUGAAUGCUGUGGAGGUAAGCAGAAUAUGUCAUGUAGCGGUGAAAUGCUUAGAGAUGACAUAGAAUACCUAUUGCGAAGGCAGCUUACUACGCAGAUAUUGACGCUCAUGCACGAAAGCGUGGGGAUCAAACAGG
rnacentral:rRNA from 1 species